rnacentral:rRNA from 1 species
UACGGAGGAUGCGAGCGUUAUCCGGAUUUAUUGGGUUUAAAGGGAGCGUAGAUGGGCGAUUAAGUCAGUUGUGAAAGUUUGCGGCUCAACCGUAAAAUUGCAAUUGAAACUGGUUGUCUUGAGUGCAGUUGAGGUAGGCGGAAUUCGUGGUGUAGCGGUGAAAUGCUUAGAUAUCACGAAGAACUCCGAUUGCGAAGGCAGCUUACUAAACUGUAACUGACAUUGAUGCUCGAAAGUGUGGGUAUCAAAC